rnacentral:rRNA from 1 species
GAUGAACGCUGGCGGCGUGCCUAACACAUGCAAGUCGAGCGAUUCACUUCGGUGAAGAGCGGCGGACGGGUGAGUAACGCGUGGGUAACCUGCCUCAUACACAUGGAUAACAUACCGAAAGGUUUGAUAAUACAAGAUGAUAUAAGAGAUUCGCAUGGAUUUCUUAUCAAAGCUCCGGCGGUAUGAGAUGGACCCGCGUCUGAUUAGUGAGUUGGUAAGGUAACGGCUUACCAAGGCGACGAUCAGUAGCCGGCCUGAGAGGGUGAACGGCCACAUUGGGACUGAGACACGGUCGAAACUCCUAAGGGAGGAAGCAGUGGGGAAUAUUGCACAAUGGGCGAAAGCCUGAUGCAGCAACGCCGCGUGAGCGAUGAAGGCCUUCGGGUCGUAAAGCUCUAUCCUCAAGGAAGAUAAUGACGGUACUUGAGGAGGAAGCCCCGGCUAACUACGUGCCAGCCGCCGCCGUAA